rnacentral:lncRNA from 1 species
UAGCGGCCCUGUGAGGCGUAUUGGAUCACCAGGUUGUGCAGGGUGCGGAGCCGGGCCGGGAUCUCGUAGCCCCCAUGCUGACCAGACACAUCCCCUCCUCCUGGGCUAGGGGCUGCAGGGCCAAGGGCAGGAGAUGCCAAGAUCACCUGUGCAACCAGCCCAGGUAAGGGUCGGAGCCCUGUCGACUUUCCCAGUCCUUCCCGGUUCAGGAUCAUUUCUGCAGUU